GGAGAGGUGCUGGAGUGGCCGAACAGGCACGCCUGGAGAGCGUGUGUCGGGGUAACCUGACCGUGGGUUCGAAUCCCACCCUCUCCGCCA
rnacentral:tRNA from 1 species